AGAGAGAGACAUGCGCGCAUAUCAAUAAGCGGAGGAAAAGAAACUAACAAGGAUUCCCCUAGUAACGGCGAGUGAAGCGGGAAGAGCUCAAAUUUGAAAUCUUAAAGGGUUUCCCUUUACGAAUUGUAGUUUAAAGAAGUGUUUUCUGUUGAGGUUUUGGUAAAAGUUCUUUGGAAUAGGACAUCAUAGAGGGUGAGAAUCCCGUAUUUGACCUUUACUUUCAACUUUGUGAUACACUUUCAAAGAGUCGGAUUGUUUGGGAAUGCAGUCCAAAAUGGGUGGUAAAUUUCAUCUAAAGCUAAAUAUUGGCGAGAGACCGAUAGCGAACAAGUACCGUGAGGGAAAGAUGAAAAGAACUUUGAAAAGAGAGUUAAACAGUACGUGAAAUUGAUCAAAAGGGAAGCGUUUGACACCAGUGUUGUUUUCCUGAAAAUCAAUUAAAGAACUGUUUAUGCUAAGCUGUUUAGACUUUAUCAGCUAACUGUUUAGUUUUGAGCUUUUCUUUAAUGCACUUUUCAGUUAACAAGUCAACAUCAAUUUCUUUUGCUGUAAGAAAGCUUGAGGAAGGUGGCUUGAGAUUCGUCUUAAGUGUUUAUAGCCUCUUGCCUAUGCAGUCGGAGAGAUUGAGGUCUGCAGCGUAGAUCCUUCGGGGCUAAAUGCAUUUGUGCUAAGUUAUAGCCUUUCAUAGACAACUUGUUGACUAUGAUCAGUCAUGUAGCUUACUCGCUUAUGUUAUUUUACCUACGCUUAGGAUGUUGAGCGCAUGUCUCUCUCU
rnacentral:rRNA from 1 species